rnacentral:rRNA from 1 species
UGGGGAAUAUUGCACAAUGGGCGCAAGCCUGAUGCAGCCAUGCCGCGUGUAUGAAGAAGGCCUUCGGGUUGUAAAGUACUUUCAGCGGGGAGGAAGGUGUUGUGGUUAAUAACCACAGCAAUUGACGUUACCCGCAGAAGAAGCACCGGCUAACUCCGUGCCAGCAGCCGCGGUAAUACGGAGGGUGCAAGAGUUAAUCGGAAUUACUGGGCGUAAAGCGCACGCAGGCGGUCUGUCAAGUCGGAUGUGAAAUCCCCGGGCUCAACCUGGGAACUGCAUCCGAAACUUGCAGGCUUGAGUCUUGUAGAGGGGGGUAGAAUUCCAGGUGUAGCGGUGAAAUGCGUAGAGAUCUGGAGGAAUACCGGUGGCGAAGGCGGCCCCCUGGACAAAGACUGACGCUCAGGUGCGAAAGCGUGGGGAGCAAACA